rfam:Glycine soja cultivar W05 scaffold2158_37, whole genome shotgun sequence.
AUCCCAGAUGAGCUUGAACGUACUGUUAAGUGCUUAUGCUGAUUCAUGGGAGGCCGAAACUGAAUGCUGGAAGUUUCGCUGAUAAAUGCCGAUCUAUGUUUUUUAUAUCAAGGCAUUUACUAGUAACUUUACCAUACAUCU